rnacentral:tRNA from 2 species
UAAAGUUUAGUUUAUAAAAACAAAUGUUUUGAAAACAUUAAUAGGAGAUUUCCUCCAACUUUUA